CUGGAGGUAUCAGAAGUGCGAAUGCUGACAUAAGUAACGAUAAAGCGGGUGAAAAGCCCGCUCGCCGGAAGACCAAGGGUUCCUGUCCAACGUUAAUCGGGGCAGGGUGAGUCGACCCCUAAGGCGAGGCCGAAAGGCGUAGUCGAUGGGAAACAGGUUAAUAUUCCUGUACUUGGUGUUACUGCGAAGGGGGGACGGAGAAGGCUAUGUUGGCCGGGCGACGGUUGUCCCGGUUUAAGCGUGUAGGCUGGUUUUCCAGGCAAA
rnacentral:rRNA from 1 species